AGAUGAGAAUGUGCCUUCGGGAACCGUGAGACAGGUGCUGCAUGGCUGUCGUCAGCUCGUGUUGUGAAAUGUUGGGUUAAGUCCCGCAACGAGCGCAACCCUUAUCCUUUGUUGCCAGCGAUUAGGUCGGGAACUCAAAGGAGACUGCCAGUGAUAAACUGGAGGAAGGUGGGGAUGACGUCAAGUCAUCAUGGCCCUUACGACCAGGGCUACACACGUGCUACAAUGGCGCAUACAAAGAGAAGCGACCUCGCGAGAGCAAGCGGACCUCAUAAAGUGCGUCGUAGUCCGGAUUGGAGUCUGCAACUCGACUCCAUGAAGUCGGAAUCGCUAGUAAUCGUGGAUCAGAAUGCCACGGUGAAUACGUUCCCGGGCCUUGUACACACCGCCCGUCACACCAUGGGAGUGGGUUGCAAAAGAAGUAGGUAGCUUAACCUUCGGGAGGGCGCUUACCACUUUGUGAUUCAUGACUGGGGUGAAGUCGUAACAAGGUAACCGUAGGGGAACCUGCGGUUGGA
rnacentral:rRNA from 1 species